rnacentral:rRNA from 1 species
AUUGAACGCUGGCGGCAGGCCUAACACAUGCAAGUCGAGCGGAGCGGCGGACGGGUGAGUAAUGCCUAGGAAUCUGCCUGGUAGUGGGGGAUAACGUCCGGAAACGGGCGCUAAUACCGCAUACUAUCAGAUGAGCCUAGGUCGGAUUAGCUAGUGGGUGGGGUAAAGGCCUACCAAGGCAACGAUCCGUAACUGGUCUGAGAGGAAGAUCAGUCACCCUGGAACUGAGACACGGUCAAGAGUCCUACGAGAGGCAACAGUAGGGAAUAUUGGGCAAUGGGCGAAAGCCUAAUCGAGCCAUGCCGCGUGUGUGAAGAAGGUCUUCGGAUUGUAAAGGACUUUAAGUUGGGAGGCGUUACCAACAGAAUGAACACCGGCUAACUUCGUGCCAGCAGCCGCGGUAAUUC